rnacentral:rRNA from 1 species
AACGAACGCUGGCGGCGUGGCUAAGGCAUGCAAGUCGAACGGAUCUAUCCAACGGGUAACUGAAGGGUAGAUUAGUGGCGAACGGGUGAGGAAUACAUGGACAACGUACCCUGGACGACGGGAGUAGCGGCGGGCCGGCAAGGCUCUUUAGCGAAAGUGCCGGUAAUACCCGAUGAUCCCGCAUGGUCGCAUGAUCGUGUGGGCAAAGCUCCGACGGUCUGGGAUCGGCUAUGCCCUAUCAGCUAGUUGGUGAGGUAACGGCUCACCAAGGCGGCGACGGGUACCGG